AACAUCUUGAGAAUUAGUAAAUAAAUGAUUUUGCGGCGCGCAACAGUUGUCGGAUUUUAGUUUAGCGUCGAGUAAGACACAUGGAAAUCGCGAGCAUCACGAUCCAACUGUUCGAGAUAUCGGACACGAAGAGUAAUCCCAGUUGUACUCAUAUUACGGGAAAAAACUACAGUGUGUUUUGCGGUGCGAGACAGGAAUCGAUACGAAUACCACGUGAUUUGAGAGAUGCAUUUAUUAUUAGCGGAAAAUCAUUGACAACAUCGUGUCACGUGAAAUGCUUUUGAACUAUGAGCAAUAACUGAGAUCUAUAAUAUUAUAAAUAAAAUAUUAUAAUAAAAGAGACAAAAGAAGAGAUGCAGAAGCAAGAAAAAAAUAUUUUUUAAGAGUAUAUUCCAAAAUAUUUUCAAAUCAUUUUCGCUCACGUAGAAUAAUGCAUCCUUCUUAAAACAUUUAUUGCUCGUGGAGCUCUCUUACAGUAUCCAAAAAUGUCACGAAACAUUCCCAUAGAAUAUUCUUAGUUCACAUUACAGCGUUUACGGUUCUACGAAUCCAAAAUAAAUAUUAUACGUGCACUUUGUCGUUUAAAGAAAUACUGAACACGUGGCAUUUCGAGUAUUUCUUAAUUUUUGCACUUUAACGCGAUUCUCUUUAUGUUUCUUAUGAGCACGCGCUUCGAAUGAUCUGUACUGGAGCUGGAGAGUGUAUGUACGUUACCGGACGCGGUCCGUUUAAUGAUGACCGGUUAGAUCAUUUGCGCUUAUCCCCGAUGAACGUCACAGGAAAAUCCGGCUUGGAUGAUAGCAAAGGUCAAUCGUAAAGGUCGACAGUCAUAUCUUCCACCUUGUUUAGUCAUGAAUUUUACACGAUGAUGCCAGUAAUAGUGGGGGACACAAGUAUUCCAUAAAUAUUAAAUCUUCGAAACUAAAACCAGUUCAACUUUGACGAGUUCAGGUUUUCAGGUUAAAUUUUUCGUCGGCAACAUUUAGAUGAAUGCAAGAAACAUUUUCUCUACUUCGACCAUCGGGAAUUCAAUUUUGCGGAAUAAGGACUUGAUACAUGAAUUUCAAUUCUCUGUGAUCUAGAAUCGAGCACUUGUCCUCAACUGCUUUGACUUUGCGAGAUCGACGUAAUUCGAUGAACUCAAGGAGAUAUCGAAAACCGUCAUGGGAAACACGUGCGCUAAACUGUAAUAUGAUAAAAUUCUGGCAAUACUAA